ensembl:lncRNA MIR124-1HG MIR124-1 host gene
GCCGCAGUGAUGUCAACCGCAUCCGCCGCAGUCCCCGGCAGCCCUAAAACGCGCCGCGGCCCGCGGAAACCCCAGCCCGGCUCCUCCCGCCAGGGCCGAGGAGGAGAGGACGCGCGGGUCCCCGGAGUCCCCCACUCCGUCUGCCUAAGCCGUGGAGACCGGGAGUGGACGCACGGCGGUGCCUGGACCCCCGGGGAGGAGGAAGAAGAGGAGAGGGAAGGGAGCUGUGGAGUCAGGUGUCGAUUUGACGCCCGCGGCCGCCGAGGGGACUCUGCCCGGCACUGGUGCCGCCUGGGGGGCGUUCAGGGAGCGUGGGGCGCCGACCGCUGCAGAUGCGGCGGCGCGCGUGGGCUCGGGCAGGCGCCCCCUUUUCCCGGGAUAGAAACGGAUAAACGGAAGCGCGUGUGAGUGUGGGGGUGCGAAUCGCCACCUCCGGCCUUGGCUUUCCCGCUCUUCCGAGCUCUCCCACUUCUCACUUUCCCCAAAUCCGCAUUUUCCUUGGCACAGCUCUCCCCGAGCACGAAGGAGAGGGAGGUACCCGGGGGCAGUGAGAAUGACGUGUGCUGGUGCAGAGGGGGUGGGGGUCUGCGGGCCUGGAUCUGUGGACGGGCUCCUAAUCCUCUUGUUUUCGGAACCGUCAGCAGAUGCGGCUUCCUUUACCUGAAUAAUCCUUUAAAGGAGUAAUAAUUUUUAAAAAGGAGCUCGACCUCAGCCAAAGAGGACGGCGCACGAGAUUAGGGCUUGUAGAUCCACUGCCUUUGGUUGGGCCGGCUGAAUCGCUGGGGACUGCGGCCAGUCUCUUAAAAAAGGAGAACAAAAAGCCGAAGACCUUGUGUGGCCGCCGGGACAAAGCACCUUGGGUUCGGCGAGAAGGGACGCGCAGGAGCGCUGAACCCAGAACACGCGUGGCCGCUGCGGAAGGGCGUCCGCCCGGCGUGCGGAACGCUGAGGGUAUUCGGAUUGUCUUUUAUUUGUCCCUGUGGCUUGCUUUCACAGUGUCUACGUAGGAGAGGGGUCGGGGUUGUUGGGGUCUCUUUUUUUUUCUGGGAGGGGUAGCUGAAUUGUGGGAGACCUAGGUGGACUUGACUUGGCUUUCCUGCUACUCUGCGUCUCCUUCUCAAGAUGCGGGGGUUGGAAAGGGGACAGGGGACUCAAGGCUUAGAAAAGAGAAGGAGCCCUCUGCUGCCUGGAGGGCUAAGGGAGUAGAGAGUGGAGAU